rnacentral:rRNA from 1 species
CCAAUAGCGUAUAUUAAAGUUGUUGCAGUUAAAAAGCUCGUAGUUGAAUUUCGGGGUUAGUAGAUUGGUCAUGCCACUGGUAUGUACUGGUCUCACUGAUUCCUCCUUCCUGAUGAGCCGUAAUGCCAUUAAUUUGGUGUUUCGAGGAAUCUGGACUGUUAUUUUGAAAAAAUUAGAGUGUUUAAAGCAGGCUAACGCUUGAAUACAUUAGCAUGGAAUAAUGAAAUAGGAUGUUCGAUCUUAUUUUGUUGGUUUCUAUGAUUGACGUAAUGAUUAAUAGGGAUAGUUGGGGGCAUUAGUAUUCAAUUGUCAGAGGUGAAAUUCUUGGAUUUAUUGAAGACUAACUACUGCGAAAGCAUUUGCCAAGGAUGUUUUCAUUAAUCAAGAACGAAAGUUAGGGGAUCGAAGACGAUCAGAUACCGUCGUAGUCUUAACCAUAAACUAUGCCGACUAGGGAUCGGAUGAUGUUAAUUUUUUAAUGACUCAUUCGGCGCCUUACG